rnacentral:rRNA from 1 species
UACGGAGGGAGCUAGCGUUGUUCGGAAUUACUGGGCGUAAAGCGCACGUAGGCGGCUUUGUAAGUUAGAGGUGAAAGCCCGGAGCUCAACUCCGGAAUUGCCUUUAAGACUGCAUCGCUUGAAUCCGGGAGAGGUGAGUGGAAUUCCGAGUGUAGAGGUUAAAUUCGUAGAUAUUCGGAAGAACACCAGUGGCGAAGGCGGCUCACUGGACCGGUAUUGACGCUGAGGUGCGAAAGCGUGGGGAGCAAACAGG